CUUGGCUGAAUAUAUAGGCUAAGUGUAGCGAACCUGGAGAACUGAAACAUCUAAGUACCCAGAGGAAAAGAAAUCAACCGAGAUUCCCAAAGUAGUGGCGAGCGAACUGGGGAUCAGCCUUCAAUAUUUUAGUAUUUGAAUUAGUCAAAUUUUCUGGAAAGUUAAACCGUAGUGGGUGAUAGUCCCGUAGGCGAAAAUUCAAAUAUAGAACUAAGAUUGAGAUAAGUAGAGCGGGACACGUGAAAUCCUGUUUUGAAGAUAGGGGGACCAUCCUCUAAGGCUAAAUACUCGUAAUCGACCGAUAGUGAACCAGUACCGUGAGGGAAAGGCGAAAAGAACCCCCGGAAGGGGGAGUGAAAUAGAUCCUGAAACCGCAUGCAUACAAACAGUGGGAGCCCGUAAGGGUGACUGCGUUACCUUUUGUAUAAUGGGUCAGCGACUUACA
rnacentral:rRNA from 1 species